AUGAUGAACACUGAUCCAGUUCAUUGGAGUAGGGCCCACAUGAAGCUGGGGUCUAAUUGUGAUUCAGUUGAUAACAACAUGUGUGAAUCUUUCAACAACUACAUCUUGUUAGCUAGGUACCUUGCUAUUGUCUCCAUGCUUGAGUGAAUCAGGUGCAAAAUUAUGGUGAGGGUACAAGAAAAUAGAGGGAAGUCAGUUAACUGGAAAGGAACUAUAUGCCCAACAUUUAAAAAAAAACUAAAGCAAAACAUAAGGAGAUCAAGUUUCUGUCAUGUGCUGUGGAAUGGGAAAUAUGGAUUUGAAGUGCAAGAAAAUGAGAAAUUCAAAUUUACUGUUAACUUGCAGCUCUGGACUUGCUCAUGUACAUAUUGGCAGCUGUCAGGUUUACCCUGCUUCCAUGUCAUUAGUGUUAUCAAUGAGCCUACAUCUCAACAAUGCUCACAGCCAAGCUCUCAACCCAGAAUUCCACAACAUUGUGUGUUCAACCUUGCUGCAUACAAGGAGGCACUAAAUGCUAAGAAAGGGCCAUCCAUUUGA
rnacentral:rRNA from 1 species